rnacentral:rRNA from 1 species
CCUACGGGGGGCUGCAGUGGGGAAUAUUGGACAAUGGGGGCAACCCUGAUCCAGCCAUGCCGCGUGUGUGAAGAAGGCCCUCGGGUUGUAAAGCACUUUCAGUGAGGAAGAACGCCUGGUGGUUAAUACCCAUCAGGAAAGACAUCACUCACAGAAGAAGCACCGGCUAACUCCGUGCCAGCAGCCGCGGUAAUACGGAGGGUGCGAGCGUUAAUCGGAAUUACUGGGCGUAAAGCGCGCGUAGGUGGCUUGAUAAGCCGGUUGUGAAAGCCCCGGGCUCAACCUGGGAACGGCAUCCGGAACUGUCAAGCUAGAGUGCAGGAGAGGAAGGUAGAAUUCCCGGUGUAGCGGUGAAAAGCGUAGAGAUCGGGAGGGAUACCAGUGGCGAAGGAGGCCUUCUGGACUGACACUGACACUGAGGUGCGAAAGCGUGGGUAGCAAACAGGAUUAGAUACCCGAGUAGUC